ACCUUCUUAUUUAAGCUCUGCUAAAAGUGCAGAAACUGGUAUCUGCAGGGUCUUAGUACUUGUAAUAAAACUGAUAGAGUAAACACAAGGAGAAAAACAACUAUACCAGAUAGUAGAAAAACUGCAGGUAACUCCAUGGUAUUUUGUUUUAAGAUUUGGUACAGUAAUA
rnacentral:snoRNA from 1 species